CCUACGGGGUGCAGCAGUGGGGAAUAUUGGGCAAUGGGCGCAAGCCUGACCCAGCAACGCCGCGUGAGGGAAGAAGGCUUUCGGGUUGUAAACUUCUUUUGUCAGGGACGAAGCAAGUGACGGUACCUGACGAAUAAGCCACGGCUAACUACGUGCCAGCAGCCGCGGUAAUACGUAGGUGGCAAGCGUUAUCAGGAUUUACUGGGUGUAAAGGGCGUGUAGGCGGGACUGCAAGUCUGAUGUGAAAACCACGGGCUCAACCUGUGACCUGCAUUUGAAACUGUAGAUCUUGAGUACUGGAGAGGCAGACGGAAUUCCUAGUGUAGCGGUGAAAUGCGUAGAUAUUAGGAGGAACACCAGUGGCGAAGGCGGUCUGCUGGACAGCAACUGACGCUGAGGCGCGAAAGCGUGGGGAGCAAACAGGAUUAGAUACCCGAGUAGUC
rnacentral:rRNA from 1 species